AAACCUAAACCUAGAGAGAGAAAGCUCUCGGCCAAGCUUGGCUGAUUUUGAGCUCUUUGAGUCUUGAUCCAAAAAUUAUUUUCCAAGGUGUUUCAACCCUUUAGAAGGUCCCUAGAAACGUGAAUAUAGUCAUUGGAGCAACAAGAACCAUUUUCAUUUCAAUUCACAAACUCUAGCCAAGUUGAGAAGUCAAGUUGUCAAGGUUGAAGUAUUAUUGGGCAGCGUAUACAUAUUGUGUGACGAAUAAGCGCUAAAGGUAGAGACAGUUGGUUUGGUGACCCUUCAGCAUAGGACUCCUACUCAGCUAUCUUGGGAACUUCGUUGUUCCGGAGUUUAGACCUCUAAUACAGAUC